rnacentral:rRNA from 1 species
GAUGAACGCUGGCGGCGUGCCUAAUACAUGCAAGUCGAACGAACGGACCCUAAGCUUUUGCUUCUAACGUUGGCGACUGGCGGGUGGGUAAGGCGUAGAUAGCCUUCUUAUAAUUCGUGGGGAACUGCGGGAAACAGCUGCUAAUACCAGAUAAUACAUUGUACCGGUUGGUUCCAUAGUGCAUCACGGUUUUAGCGUCUCUCAUAGAUGGAUCCGCGCUGCAUUAGCUAGUUGGUAAGGUAACGGCUUACCAAGGCGACGAUGCGUAGCCGACCUGAGAGGGUGAUCGGCCACACUGGAACUGAGACACGGUCCAGACUCCUACGGGAGGCAGCAGUAGGGAAUCUUCCGCAAUGGGCGAAAGCCUGACGGAGCAACGCCGCGUGAGUGAUGAAGGUCUUCGGAUCGUAAAACUCUGUUAUUAGGGAAGAACAAAUGUGUAAGUAACUAUGCACGUCUUGACGGUACCUAAUCAGAAAGCCACGGCUAACUACGUG